CGGAGCUGCGCAGUGUCGCAGGCCCAGCGUCCGCGCAGAAUGUAGACACGGACGCUGAUUUCUAACUAGGUGUUACCCGGCUUUGAGCAACCCUCGGAGAGGUGUCGCGAAAGGAGCGGGUCUGUAGGCCCUUGGCCUCAAUCUACGGUUUUUCUACCGCGUAGUUUGUGACGCUGAGCAACUUGAAUUUUAAGAUAUCGCUGCGUGACUAAAAAGACAAGUGGUUUUCCGCACUUGCUAGCUCUUUCCGGCCCCAUCCUGCGUCUCGUGGACCCCAGCCUCGAGCCUAAAACGUUGGGGCCUCCCUUUCCCGCCACUCCUUCACCGGUCACUCACCCCGCCACGAGCUAGGCUCGUACGGAAGCCUACUUGGAACGUGGGUGGAGGCAUAGAGAUGAGAAAUGAGUGCAGCUCGAAGACACUGGCUGGUGCUGGAGACCCGUGCUGACGAUUUUACAAGGUGCAAUGACUAGCUUAAACUUCAUGGCUCUUCUUAGAUACCUUUGUCUCUGAUUGAGGAUUUCGUUGGCCACCCGUGUCUGAUCUAACAUCGCUUUGACUCAAAACCUUUAAAGCAAUCUCAGCGAACCAUUGGCUUCCUCCACUUUGGAAGCUAAGAAUGACUUAAGACCUGAAACCUGUCAGUUUUUCCCCAGUUUGCUGUAAUCAAUCUGAUGAUCCAACCGGAGUCUGGAAAAUGCCUUAAUUUCUGACUCUCUCUCAUUCUGUGAUUAUAAAGAUGUAAAUGCUUCCAUGUUGGAACAUGUUAUUGCAGGUAACCCGAACCCAUGCUCCCAGGCCGUGCAGGGGUCUCUCAUAUUUGGUUCAAAAUAAAUCCUCUUACUCCCUUUGAAAGAAGGCUGUUGUACAAAGACAGGAUAGCCAUCUGUAAGGGUGUGGACACGCUCCAGAAUGCAGUCAGUUGUAUUUCAGAGUACAGUUGAGAUUUCUUAGCGAGGGUGGCCUUCAUAAGGGAAGGAAUUCUAGGUUCAGUGAGCAAUGAAAACAGCUCUUUUAUUCAGCAGACUGUGAGAAGUGUGAUGCCAGGAUAAGUGAAUGCAAGAGUGGACAUGAGGAGUGAUAAGACUGCAGAAAGGGUUAGCUAAUACAGUGCCUUGCUUCACAAACUCCUGGGAGUUUAAACUUGAUCUGCUUGAAGGGUUUUUAAGGAAGGAAGUAACAUGAGCACAUUUGCAUUUUAGAGGGCGAUUCUGGCUGGAGUGAAGGCUGGGACAGAGAUGAGAGACUGCAGAAGGUGGGUCCAGAGCCAAAACCAAGGCUUAAACACACACACACUUAAAAACGCACUUAAAAUGCGCACAAAAAUACAUUUAAACAUACACUUAGAAUGCACAUACACUUCAACAAUACAUUUAAAUACUUUAAAUGCACACUUAAAAGUACACAAAAAUGCACACACUUAAACAUCUAAAACUACUGGUAAAAUGAACAUAGUUAAAAUAUAUAUAGAUAAAAACACACUUAAAAGCAUACACUUAAAAUGCAUGCAUACUUAGAAACACACUUAAAAACACACACACAUUUCAUGAGAAAAACUAUACUGUUGCAUUGUUCAGGUUGCAUCUGGGUCACUGAGAAGUCUGUCCACAAAGGACAAUGUGAGGGAAAGUGCAGGCAUAAGAAGCUCCCAACGCCCACACCAAGAGCUGGCUCUGCUCCCACAGGAAAAUCACUAGUGUGGGCUAUUUCCUCCCCGUAGGGAUUAAAUUUCUUGCCUUACCUAAAAAAUAAAAAUGAAAUCCAAUCAACUAUCAACAUGUAUAAAGAGAAAGAAAACAUACAUUUGUUCAUUCAAUAAAUAUUUAUUGAAUAUUUUCUCCAUGCCAGACAAGAGACUCAGAUGCACAAUAUUCAGGAAUAAAGGAGUAUCCUGCCCUCAAAAGGGAGAGAGGCCAGUAAAAACAAAGAGAACACUACAUCUUUCUCAUAACACCUUACAAUUCUUAAGAGAAAUAAAGACAACCUACAAGAAGUACAGAACUUUUCAAGAGCACUAACAAGAAUGGAAAGUUGGAGUAUGGGGUACUAGCUGGAACACAGCAAAUACCCAGGCAAAGAACAGCCCAUUUAAAAGUUGCUAAGUAAAGCGGGCUUGAUAAAACCUAAACUCUGGAGACCACAGCAGGGUUACGACCACAGACUCAAGGCCAGCCUAGUCAACAUAGUACCAGGUCAAACUGGGCUACAGAGUGUGGCCCCAUUUAAAAUAUAAAUAAAAAUGUUUAAAAAAUUUAAGGUUUUACUGUUUCCCACUUCUUUCAUAAGAUUUCCUGCACUCUGCCCAAAGGUUGCCCGUAAGUGUAAGCAUCUGCAUUGAUAGUCUGCAGGGCAGAGCUUUUAGAGGUCCUCUGUGUCAGACUCCUGACUUGUUCCCUCUUUUCUCCUUCUCCUGAUGUUCAUCCUCUUUGGCUUUCUGGAUAGGAAUUGAGCAUUUUAGCAAGAGCCCUCCAUCUGUUUCUUUAGGUGUACAGAUUUUAGUAGGUUUAUCCUAUAUUUUAUAUCUAUAUGAGUGAGUAUAUACCGUGUGCAUCUUUCUGCUUCUGGGAUAGCUCACUCAGGAUGAUCUGGAGAGGACAGGAACUCCACAAGGAGAGCAACAGAACAAAAAAAUCUGAGCACAGAGGUCUUUCCUGAGACUGAUACUCCAACCAAGGACUAUGCAUGGAGAUAACCUAAGACCCCUGCACAGAUGUAGCCCAAAGCAGUUCAGUAUCCAAGUGGGUUCCAUUGUAAUAGGAACAGGGACUGUCUCUGAUAUGAACUGAUUGGCCUGCUCUUUAAUUACCUCCCCCUGAGGGGGAAGCAGCAUUACCAGGCCACAGAAGAAGACACUGCAGCCACUCCUGAUGAGACCUAACUGACUAGGAUCAGAAGGAAGGAAAAGAAGAUCUCCCCUAUCAGUAGACUUGGGGAGGGGUUGGGAUGGGAGGAGGGAGGGAACCACAGGGGGAUACCAAGUGAGUAAAGUGUAACUAAUAAGGAAUUUAAAGGGAAGCCAGCCAACAAUGUAUGCAAAGAGCUACAGAAUAAUCGUGCUCUUACACGGGGAGGGGAGGUGUUAAUACUUUAUCAUCUUUUACAUUCAUUUUAAUCCUGUAAUUGCAAAAGACGUUGUUGCAAAAAGGCACUCUAAAAAUAAAAAUGUUUAUACUAACUACCACA